UUCUAGUGAGGCCGGUCUAGGGAUCAGAAAAGCCUCCCAGGACCUGGACUCCUGGGCCUCCCUCCUUAAGUCUCUCCCUGCCUUCCUGUUUCCUACCAGCUACUUCAAUGCACACAGAGUCUGCAGUGUGGUUCUCCCAACAGAUGAAGAGAAGGAAUCAGGCUGUAAACUUAACACUGCCCUUUUCAGACUGCGAGCAUCAUGGCCUAGUCUUAAUCACCUUUUAAAAAGGACUUCCACACAAUCCCUGAUCUCUCCUAGCCAGACUGCCAGUACACAGUUGUGACCUGGUGGGAGGAGGGGAGCAGAGAUCUCGGCAUUGACUUGCAUGCCAGGCCCCAGAGUCUGAUCUAAGCAGACUUUCCAACUGAUUAAUACCCCCUCCCCAAUAGCUUUCUUCUGAGGAAUGCUGAAUCAUUCUUCACUAAUCCCAUGACAUCUUUGAUAGUGGUAUUUUGCUUUCCCGAAACUCACUGGAUCAUUCAUUUUGGCUUUUUGGCAAAUCACACUGAACAAAGGUGUCCUUGUAAAAAUGUUUUCAAAAUCUAGUUCAAGAGCCCUGAGAUCCUACAAAUGACCAGAUGUGUGUAAAAGAUUCUCUCCCAUACCUCUUCCCUACCCUCUAAAUAAUUAAAAAAUGGUAUUAUUCUGUUUAGAGAGACCACAGAACAGAAAUAGCCCUGUUUUAUGAAGCCCAUCUGGAGAGAUGAACAAGCCUGCAAUCGUUGGGAGAAAGACAGGGAAUGAGCAGCGGAAGCGCCGCCAGCCUCCAGCCAAACUCGCGAGGAGGACGGAUGGCAGGGGGACCGGUGCUCCAGAUGUUGCACUGGAGGCGCUGCAAGUGUGAGCAGGUGAUGGUAGACCUACAUCAGAGGUCGUAGCAGAUGUUCUCACCAUCUCUAUUGAAGUUUCCUUCUCUCCACUUGCAAGAGGAGCCCCAGGGCCUCAUCCCUCUGGUAGCUGCAAUGAGCUGAUAAAAGCUUUCCUUCACCAGGGAACUUUGGCAAGGGAACUGGCUAGAUCAGCAAGUCCAUUUCCAUUGUGGAAAAACAACUUGAAACUCUUCUAUGGAUGGCUAUAAACAAAUCCCAAGGCUGCAGAAUGGUAGGACUGAUGCUCACUGAAGGCAGAUGAAAGUCCUGACUGUAAGGAGGGGUUCCUUAUACUACAGGAUUAAUGGGAAAAACAUGAACUUCACAAUAAAUUUUUCCUAAAAUGUUGAUUUACAAUUUACUUUCUCAAGAUUCAUUUUGAAUUAUGGAAAUCAUCUUCUACUGUAACCUCCUACAGAAGGAUUUAAAAAUGAUUGUACUAUCAAUGGGACAAGAAUAGGCGGAACACCUGCUUCCCUGAGUGCCUGCUUCACACCACCUUUCACAUUUUCUAGAAAAACAGCCAUUGGAGAAUCAACACGCUCCCUUCAACAAAAACAGAAACAAGUCAAGACCCUAAGAAUGCCACCGCAGCCAGCAGCGAAUCAUGCGGGGGCUAUGCAAGCAAUCUCCAGCAAAGGAAGUUCUCAAGAGAGUGUGCACCUCACCAGCCAGGAAUCAGGAAAGGUUGAACCUAUCCAUUUCAUCUCAGUUGCUCCUUAAAUCAGUGCAACCCUUCCAAAUGAACCUGAAUUGAAACAUGCUCUGGCUUUUCAACUUAAUUGAAUAAUUACUACAUGUGAAUCACUAUACGGAGCGGGGGAAGGAGACAAAGGUGUGGUCCCUGCCUUCCAUAGAUUUACAAUUAGUUUCAAUGAAUAUUUUUAUAUGUGUCUUCUGUUCUUAAUAAGUGUGCCUCUAAGACGGGAAACAAAUGGAAGAGUGUAUUUCUAUAAGUAAUUUAAGUUUUUUAAAUAAAAAAUAAAACUUGUAAUGUGAACAAUUCAGGACAUCUUAAUUCCAUUUCUUUUUGGACUUCUGAUAGGUAGGAUCCUUUUUUGUUGAUUCCAAAAAUGUUCUGUAGACUUUAGAGAAAUCAACACACUAUAGUUGGUGUUAAUUUGAAUUAAAUUCAUUUUUUUCAUUUAGGUAUAGAGUGUCUGUUGGAAAACUAGAUUGUGUUUGUACAUUUGGUGGGGAGUGGGUGAGUGAAUCACAUCUGUUGUUUCAAUAGGCCUCUACCUUGAAUGGCUAGGGGCCUGCAGUACUGAGUGAAUUAUUAGCAUGGAGGAGGGGAAGGUUUGGAUCAAGCUUGGGUUCCUUACUCAUGGAUCCAAGACAGGGCAUGACAGGAGCCAAACAGACCUGGAAAAUGGCUGUGUGUGAAAAUUUGGCUAUUUCAGUAUUCAUGGUGUUGUCUUCUAUGUUCUAUAAGUUGAGUGACUAUAUAGUUUUUCCAAAAAAUUACUUCUGCUCUGUAAGUCAUGAUUUUUCCAGUGUUAAAACACAAAUAUGAUUGUAGACACUAGACAUUUUAUGUAGUGUCUGUGACACAUUUUGUUGUGUAUGAGCCACCAAUCGACAUGUCUUCGUCUUGAGAGUGUCCAUCUAAAUUGAAAAUGUGCCAGCGUUUUAACAUUAUCAACAGACUUCUUAAUUAAGCUGCCGAUACGUACUGCCAAUAGUGUGUGUCGUCUGAGAAAUGAAUUGUGUAAAUGCUGUUUUUCUCUAAUUAAAUAAAUAAUGUCACUCCAUAUAAAAGUGAUUUCAAGUGUUCUUUGAGUGGGGUAUUAUAUUUUUCCCUAGAGAAUUUGAUGAUAAUUCUCAUAUUAUUCCUUUUUAUUUAAUUUCUGAAAACCUUUCUUUUACUUCUCAGGAAAGAAUUAUUCUAAUUUGACUUCAGUUAUAUGAUUCACCUUUAAUAGGAUAUAUUUGUAUCACCCAGCUCCCAAACCCUGGUGAUAUUGUGUGUUUGUUAUGGCACUUUCAGUUUGCAUGAAGUAGCUUUCAAUAAAUCUGAGCUAUGAACUUGUUUUGUACUAAA